rnacentral:rRNA from 1 species
UACGUAGGGUGCAAGCGUUGUCCGGAAUUAUUGGGCGUAAAGAGCUCGUAGGCGGUCUGUCGCGUCGGCUGUGAAAACCCGGAGCUCAACUCCGGGCCUGCAGUCGAUACGGGCAAACUGGAGUACUGCAGGGGAGACUGGAAUUCCUGGUGUAGCGGUGAAAUGCGCAGAUAUCAGGAGGAACACCGGUGGCGAAGGCGGGUCUCUGGGCAGUAACUGACGCUGGAGGAGCGAA